UGCUCCCACGUCUCAAUGCCCGGUUAGAUGAGGGUUUCCCUCUGCCGCUUCUGGACAGGAUUCAGCUCUCCAAUAUCCUCGUGAAAUUCUACCAGAAUUUCCUGCUGCUUGGAGCAGACGUUCACUUCCAGCCCCGGGGAUGAAGAUAAGGCGAUGAGAGCCCUUCAGCACUAAAUAUGCUCCAUUCACCACUUUACCAUUCCCUGCUUCCGUGCCUGAGCCAAAGACCAUUAGUCCUGCCACUGUCCUGCACUGCUGCCUUGGCCUGGACCCCCAGCUGGGGCCUCACCUGGUCCUUUCAUGAGUUGGGAGUCCCCUGCCCUGGGCCAACUCCUCCCCUCCUCCUUCUGAGCAGCAAUAAAGGUGUCGGUGCUGGGGC